UGUCUUCUUGAUAUCUAAUGCUCAGAAUGUGAUUUCCCAAAUGACCCAGAGGCAGAUAUUCAAAAGUCUGGUAUCCCACUUGACGGCACGCUGAUAUGCUGACCUAGUGAAAUUGAUGUAACACCAACAUUUAUUUGGCUAAAUUCUAACGUGAAAUGACAACGUUAAUCCCAGUCUUCGAUUCUCUGUAUUUUGUAGAGGGCUGCCAACAACCAAAUUCAAAUUCACAAGCUUGAUUUGAGUAACAUGAAGUUUGCUUUGCAGGACAUCUCGUGAAAUGUGACACUAAUGUUACGAUUACAACGUUACAAACUACCUCUGAAUGAAUACAACAGAUAGUUUUACCUGUAACUUUAAGGCACCAGUUAAAUGAGUUUAUGCUCCUGUGACGUUUCUGAGCAAAGGGAUCCUUUUGGUUUUCAAGACGUCUGUGGGUGGCCCAGUCUCAACAAAAUCGGCUUCUGUGAGCACUGAAUCUAUGCCAAUGGAACGUCUGUCCACACCUUUGGCAAGUUCCACUGCACAAACGGACAUUUCAACAUCUUCACUCCAACAGAACGCCACUGACUCUAACCCACAGUCUUCAAGUGAGGCUCAGUUCCCUGUUUUUUUGUUAGGUGUGGCAGUGGGAACCAUUAGUGGAGCGGCAGCUGUAGGUGGAAUGAUUUUUGCAGGAGUAAAGUUGAGUGGAAGACUGGAUGGUUAGGAAAAGGUCUGAUACCACUGAUGCAGAAUGCAGACUCUAUAGUGGCAUAAAACAUAUUUUAAUGGAGCAAAAGGCAUCUCAGGUUGAUAUGUGCCCAUUGACAGUUCUGGUUCACAUUUCUUCAGCAUAUUGAGCAAAGCUGGCAAAUAGCUAUCUUUCAGUUGAACAAACCUUAGUUUUCAUGACAUCAUUAAAGCAACAUAAGAAGUGCUAUUUACCCCUUGUUGUCACUUUUGAACAUACAGUACUUAUCCCUUUAGCAUCAGUUUUGCAAUGUGCAAGGUUCCCUGAAAGUUGGAAUAUGAUCUUAAAGGGGUACCCUCAGCACCGUAAAGUGUCAAAAAGGAUCACUUCUCCACCACUGUCCACACCAGGCAUCCCAGGUGCGCAAUAACAAUGACAGGCACUAUUCUUCUUAUUAGGCCUUUAAGUCAGUGUAUACCAUCAAAAUGAUUGUGAAGCUGUUAUUUUAAAGGAAAAAUUGCUUUAAAGCAUAAUAUAUAUGUAAAGCAUUUUAGCUCUUGUCAUGAAAUAUAAACAUUCC